UACGGAGGGUGCAAGCGUUAUCCGGAUUCACUGGGUUUAAAGGGUGCGUAGGUGGUUUUGUAAGUCAGUGGUGAAAGCCCGGAGCUCAACUCCGGAACUGCCAUUGAUACUGCUUAACUUGGAGGGUUGGAGGGGGGACUGGAAUUCUCGGUGUAGCAGUGAAAUGCGUAGAUAUCGAGAGGAACACCAGUGGCGAAGGCGGCUCACUGGCCCGAUACUGACGCUGAGGCACGAAAGCGUGGGGAGCAAACAGG
rnacentral:rRNA from 1 species